ensembl:lncRNA
CUUCAUCUUUAGAGAGAUAAGAUGAAAUUGUUCUUCCAAGAGUAGUUUCUCUUGUUUCUGAUGAGGAUGGAAAGUACAAACUUAUGUUUAAACUCUGAUUUUAACCAUUCCAAUUUUAACUUCAUCCCUACGUAUAACUGCAGAUAUAACAACUCUUAAUGAAGGGGAGGCAUUUUAGAGUUUUGAUCAGAAACAGUCUUUCUGAGGUGGAUGCUGAGGUAGAACCAUAAAUGGGCAGUAGGGAAAAAAACAAAAACAGGGAUUUCACCAGCUUUCCUCCUAUAGCAGGUACCUCCUUGCACUGAUCCUUGUCUAACAAAAGCUAACUUCAUACUAGUUAGUCUGAAGUAGUAGUACUGAAGAAUUUCCGCUUAAGCAAACUCCUUUCUGUCAUAAAACCAUUAAUAUGGUACAAAUAAGUGCACAUAGAUUGAGGCUCAACAUAUUGCAAGUACAACCAAAGAAAAUCUUUUCUUACCCUCAGAUGGGAUGGCUUAUUCUUCUAUUAUAUAUGGAUUUAUUUUCAUUGAAAAUUAACUGACCAGGAGAAUGUGAUUUGCAACAAGAUUUAAAAUUUGAUUUUCUUAAUAAUCAUGUGCAAGCUAAUAAUGUACUAACAUCCAGAGUUUCAUUAAUCCUUGUAGGUAAUACAGAUGUUUAAAUUGAUGUGCCUUUGCAGGCUUACAGCCAGUUGUAUGCUAUUAAAAACAUACACAAAUGUACUGAGAUUUUUAGUUUGUUUUCACAGUGUAAAUAUUAGCUUAGCAAAGUAUAAAGCCUUGAACUUCAGAUAUCUCCUUGAAGGCAUUCAAGGCCAGGUUGGAUGGAAACCUGGUCAGCCUGUUCUAUUGGGUAACAACUCUGCCCAUGGCAGGAAGGUAGAAACUUGAUGGCCUUUAAGGUCUUUUCCAACCCUAGCAAUUCUAUGAUUCGGAUACUUCCAUGGAAAAUUGAUUACACAUUACAUGUUAGUCAUGUAAUGUCUCAUAUUUUAUUAUGUUGGUACCUGCUGUCAGAGGUGAAUGUUGGUGGUAUGGCAGUAGAGCCUCCCUACAGUAUUCCUUUUCUUUUUACUGCCAUGUGACAGAUGGCAGCAGAGGGGCAGUCUGACAACACGGCAUCUGACAUGGAAGUGCAGAAGAAGAAAAGGUGUGAAAUUGAAUUGCUCCAUGUGGAAUAAAUGGCACCCACUGACAUUCAUCGAUGCUUUCUGAAUGUUUAUGGAGACCAGCCAGUGGAUGUCAAAACAGUAAAUCAGUGGGUGGUGCGUUUUAGCAGUGGCGACAGCAACAGUGGAUCACCUUUGCUGGUGCAGAUCUGUAGAAGUGCAGCAGGCAGGCUUUUGUUCAUGCAUGGUGAAAAUGCAUAGCUCAUGAUGGUGACUGCGGGGAAAACUGUUUUGUAGCUAAGAAUUGGUUCUAUCGAAUAGUCUUAUUGUGCUCUUUGUACCUGUAGUUUUCAUGGAAAUAAAUAGGAGACAAUACUUUUAGAGCUACAUACAUAUAUGCUAAUUUUGGUAUAUGUGUUUACAUAAAGUAAGAAUUAUACUGUAGUCUUUUGAAAUGUGAAGAUAUCUCUGAAAUGCCAUUCUACUUAAGUGACACUUUAGUAAAUAGUUCUUUUGAAAGGGUAGUUAAAUGAUGUGUCACAGUCUGUAUUGAUGAAUGCAGGAGCAUUAAGCUACCUAUUCCUUAUGUAUACAAUAAUGUUUUUUUAUGUAUUUGCUCUGUUUCACCUUUGUUUUUAUUUACUUAUAGCUUCCUUCUGGAAAAAUAUCCUAACAAUUUUAACAGUAAGCUUUACAGAAUAACUCUGGAAAAUAUUUCUAGACUGUUAAUUCUAUUUAGACUUCCCCAGUGCACCUGAGUUAUCCCUCAGAGCUACUUAGAAUACCCCAGCUUUAUCUGAGCUUACAUUGUUUCAACUGGGAGCUCUACUGAAAUCAGCAGAAGUCACACAGAUAUAGUUAUGUAUUUCUGAGCAAGAUCUCUGAUACUGUGAGUUUGUGCCUGUAUUUCGUAUCAGUGGAAGAGCUUGAUCUCAGACGGACACUCAGAGGUUCUAAGGAUGCCCUGUCUGUCUAGAAAGACUACAACUCCAAAAGGAAUAUUUAUCUCCUGGAGAGUUUCAGAUUCCUUUUGUCAUUGAGAAGAGCAGUAGAUACCUACAUGUAAGCAAAUGAACCUUGAGUGGUUUUCCGUAAAUGAACACAUCUGCCAGCUUUGUUCAAAAAUUCAGGUGGCACUGUGCCUCAAACUCAGUUUCCUAUGUUGGAUUUUAUUAAUUUAAACAUAACUUACAAUUUCCACUCUGGAAUAGUUGUUGACUACAGAACAACAAUCUUGACUUCUACAGCUAUGUAUAAGAUUAGGAGAUUGCGGUUUGAAAAUUUUGUGUUAUAAUUUACAUAUAAUUUACAUAUCUUGCAUUUGCCAGUCGUGUUAUUUAUGAGAUUUAUCCAACACAGUUACUGGAUUUUACUUGAGAGAUCUGUAGCACAGUAUAGGAUUACUGCUGGCACUUUCUUACAUUGAGAUUUUAGUACUCAGAUCUUCCUUCAAAGUUUUUCUGCUGGCUCAGUUUGGUUCUGGACUUUGAUCAGGCUGAGUGGUUGAUGGUUUGGGCAGGCAGCUAAAUUUCCAAUGUUACAUAGGCAUUUCUGACCAUUACUGAAGAAAUAUUUUUGGUCAGCUGUCUGCUCUUGCUACUUCCAUUUUCACCUAAGCUUGAGCUUCAAGUACUCUGUCCCUUUGAGUGCCUGUCUCACCUCUGAAUCCUAAGACUGUGAUCUGUGGAGUUGGCUAGUAACUAGUACUGAGGUACAGAGGUUCUAUAGUACCUCUGGCUGAAAAAUAUGACUAUCAAUUUCAUUAAGAAAUAUUUAUAUAUUAAUAAUUCCUCAAGUCAAAAGCAGAUUCCAGCCUUUGAGUUUGGAAUUCUUGAUAUCUAAAUUGUUCUAAGACUCUAAAGCACCUAGCAUUUGCAGCCACUGAGAAACAGCUGGGAGGGACUUCUGUAGUUAUUCUCUUGUAUGAUGGAAUAAGAAGAUAACAUUUAGCUGAGUUGAGUAUUUCAAGUGUAGGAGAAGGAUUUUGACAUGAGUAAAACAGUAGUAAGAUUGAUUUGAUUACUGAAAUAAAUAAAGAAGGAAAAUAAUAUGCCAUUAAGAUACUGCAUAGAUUUUUGUCUAUUCCCCUUGAUGUCAAGACACAGAUCUGACAAAAAAGAUGAUUUUGUUUUUCUUUCUCAUGCCAAGAGUCAUCAAGUAAAUCUUUGUCAGGUAAAUCUCAAGUUUGCAGUAAAGCACUUCCUGUAAAAAGCAUCCAAUUAGCCUACUUGUGUCACUUAGUACUCUGUGCUUUAGCAUUCUUUGACUGUAGAUUAGUUUCUGUGCUCUAAUCCCUGCCAUUAAUAUUCACUCACCAUAAGCUUGCUUUGCUAUGCAUUAUUUAUCAAGUUUAGAAAGUGAUAUAACAAGUUCUAACUGGGAAACAGAAAAAAAUAUUGUCCAAAAGUGCUUUUAACCUAAACAACCCACACACUGAAGAAGAAACAUGAAAAAAUACUAUUAAAAAUAAGGUAACUGAGUAUAUACAUACUAACGUCAUGCUGCUUGCAUACUUUUUAUGUUUCCUUAAAUUUUAACAGGAGUUGUAGAAAUAAACUUUCAAACAUACCGAAGAGAGUCUUCCCUAUGCAAAGGGGAAUCAAACAACUAACAGUUAAAGAGGUCCUUAUAGAUACUUCUAUAGGUUGCUGGCUAGAAUGCAAUUGGAUCCUAUAACUAAUGAACGUAAAUCACUAAUGUAAAUCAAUUAGUUGGUCAUUGCUUUUAGUCACAAAAUUGUAUUCUUUGUUUUGACGAUAUAUCAUUGACAAAUUGUAUUUGUUUUGACAAUAUAUCUGAAAUUUGUAAUAUAUAAAAAGAUAAUAAGAUCUUAUAUUUUAAUGAAGAGUAUUUUGACUUGGUAAAGGAACAGAAGCAUGCAAAGUUCUCUUGGGAAACAGAAGCUUUUGCAAGCAUACUGUCCAAGAAUAGUUACUAGUUGGAGAGAACAUGUCAAAGCUGUUCAAGUUAACAUGUUUUGGAGGUUAAAAUUCAGAACUUAGCAGUUAUGAAAACACAAGGAAACAAAUGUAGGACUACACCCCUAUGUACUUCAUUUAAAUUAUGUGUUAGCCUCCCUCCAGAAGACCAGACACAAAGUGAAAAAAAAUUGCUUCCUUUGUGAGUGUGAUUUAAAGGUGAAAUAUUUGAUUAUUCAGCCAGAUGUGUCUAAUCCAACUAAAUGGAUUACCAGUGGGUUUGUUGUAUCAAGUAUCUAUUUUAUGCUAACAGCAAGCUGGAUGCAUGAAUUUCGAAAGGCACUUUAGAAUAAUUAUUUGAUUAAUUUUUGUUCAUAUCACAAGGAGUCUUGUGGCUAUAAUGAAUAUCUAUGUAUUCAUAUGUACAUUUUGGCAUCGGCACAUAAAAAAUAAAGACAAGGUAAUUUGUAGUAAUCAGUAUGGGUUCAUCAAGGGCAAGUUAUACCUGACAAACUUGGUGGCCUUUUAUGAUGGAGUUACAGCAUCAGUGGAUAAAGAAAGAGCAACUGAUAUCAUCUACCUGGAAUUGUGCAAAGCAUUUGAUACUGUUAUGCAUGACAUCCUGGUCACCAAAUUGGAGAAAAAUGGAUUUGAUGGAUAAAGCACACUCUGGAUAAGGAAUUGUCUGAAUGCUUGCACUUGGAGAGUUGCUGUCAACAGCUCAGUGUCUGAGUGGAGGCUGGUGAUGAGUGGCAUUCCUCAGGGAUUAAUAUUUGUACUGAUGUUAUUUAACAUCUUUGUAGGUAAUGUGGACAGUGGGAUUGAGUGCACCCUCAGCAAGUUUGCAGAUUACAUGCUAGAGUUAAGGGAUGCUAUCCGGAGCGACUUGGUCAGUCUUGAGAGGUGGACCCAUGCCAACCUCAUUCAGUUCAACAAGACCAAGUGCAAGGUCCUGCACCUGGGUCAGAGCAAUCCCAAGCACAGAUAGGGGUUGGAUGGAGAAUGGCUUGAAAGCAGCCCUGAGGAGAAGGAUUUGGGAGUGUCAGUUGAUGAAAGAUUCAACAUGAGCCAGCAACGUGUGCUUGCAACCCAGAAGGCCAGGCCUAUCCUGGGUUGCAUCAAGACAAGUGUGACCAGCAUGUCGAGGGAGGUGAUUCUGCCCCUCUAUCUGCUCUCAUGAGAACCCACCUGAAGUGUUGCGUCCAGUUCUGGAGCCCCUGCAGAAGAAAGAUGUGAAGUUAUGAGAGAAAUUCCAGAAGAGGUUCACAGAGAUGAUCAGAGAGCUAGACCACCUCCCCUAUGAAGACAGGCUGAAGGAACUGGGGCUCUUCAGCCUCGAGAAGAGAAGGCUCUGAGGAGAUGUUAUAGCAGCCUUCCAGUGCCUGAAGGGGGCCUACAGGAAAGCUGGGGAGGGACUUUUUAGAAGGGCAUGUAGCAACAGGACAAGAGGAAAUGGUUUUCAACUGGGAGAGGAUAGAUUUAGACUGGAUAUUAGGAAGAAAUUCUUUAUUGUGAGGGUGGUGAAAUACUGGCAUGUGUUUCCCAGCGACGUUGUGAAUGCCCCCUCCCUGGAAGCAUUCAAGGCCAGGCUGGAUGGGACUUUGAGCAACCUGGUGUAGAGGGAGGUGUCCCUGCCUAUAGCAGGUGGAUUGGAACUAGAUGAUCUUAAGAGUCCCUUCCAACCCAAACCAUUCCAUUCUAUGAUAUAAGCAGAGACCAAAAGAUGUGACCUUGCAGGUAUGUGGGUAGAACUCAGGAUCUGGCGUUAAACACCUUGAAAAACAGAUAUUUAAAUAUUUGAGAAAUUUGUUCAGGAGGAGCUAUCGCAGUUGGGUUUAAGGUAUAACUGGUGAAGGCAUAAUCUUACCAUUCCUAGGAACAGCCUAACAAUUAGAACAGUAAACUAAGAAGUUGCAUAUUUGUGUUCUGUUCUGUCUCAUAUAUUUGCUUUGAGUUAAAAAUAUUUUUGCCAUUCAGAAUAUCUGGCACUUGGGAUUUAAGCAGAAAUACAUGAUUUGGAGAAAGUGAAUAACUUUUUCUGGUCAUUAGUUAAGCUUUAACCUCCUAUAGGAAUAUCUUAAAGCUGAUGUAAUGCAUGAGUUGAGGG